rnacentral:rRNA from 1 species
GAUGAACGCUGGCGGCGUGCCUAAUACAUGCCAGUCGAGCGAACAGACGAGGAGCUUGCUCCUCUGACGUUAGCGGCGGACGGGUGAGUAACACGUGGAUAACCUACCUAUAAGACUGGGAUAACUUCGGGAAACCGGAGCUAAUACCGGAUAAUAUAUUGAACCGCAUGGUUCAAUAGUGAAAGACGGUUUUGCUGUCACUUAUAGAUGGAUCCGCGCCGCAUUAGCUAGUUGGUAAGGUAACGGCUUACCAAGGCGACGAUGCGUAGCCGACCUGAGAGGGUGAUCGGCCACACUGGAACUGAGACACGGUCCAGACUCCUACGGGAGGCAGCAGUAGGGAAUCUUCCGCAAUGGGCGAAAGCCUGACGGAGCAACACCGCGUGAGUGAUGAAGGUCUUCGGAUCGUAAAACUCUGUUAUUAGGGAAGAACAAAUGUGUAAGUAACUAUGCACGUCUUGACGGUACCUAAUCAGAAAGCCACGGCUAACUACGUG